GCACGCGUUUCUUUUGCAGGAUACUCACAAAUAGAACAAAAUGCCACAAGCGGGAGAGACGAAAAACCUAAUUACGACAUAUUUAAUUUUGGUGGCUCUGCUAUUUGCCCUCUGGAUGCUUUACACCGGCCUGUUCUAAGCAUGUAAACGAUCAACAUCAAAGACGAGUUAGAAAAAUGGAUGCAAGAAAGACAAUAUACAUACGUUAAAACAUUAGUUGCUGCAAAAGUCCCCCGUCAUCGAUCAUCAUGAUUCAUAAACAACUUGCCUAACAUGAUGUGUACAUGUGCAUUUGUAUUUUUAUAAAAAAAAUAAGACACUACCCUAGAAUGUUUUUAUUUAAUUUUUAAGGAGAUUGUUAAGUGGAUCAAUAAAUCGUUAAUUUUUCUAAAUA